CAUUGAAACACUGGUUCUCAUUUGAUCACCAAAGUUAAGCAAUGUUGAGCCUGAUUAGUACAUGAUUGGGUGACCACUGUAGAAUACCAAGUGCUGUAAG